UACGGGGGGGGCAAGCGUCGUUCGGAAUUACUGGGCGUAAAGGGCUCGUAGGCGGCCAACUAAGUCAGACGUGAAAUCCCUCGGCUUAACCGGGGAACUGCGUCUGAUACUGGAUGGCUUGAGUGUGGGAGAGGAAUGCGGAAUUCCAGGUGUAGCGGUGAAAUGCGUAGAUAUCUGGAAGAACACCUAUGGCGAAGGCAGCUCUCUGGGACGGUACUGACGCUGAGACGCGAAAGCGUGGGGAGCGAACAGG
rnacentral:rRNA from 1 species